AACCAACGCGGAGGGCGCUGGGACAUGACGCCGCACUCGCCAUAAAUUCCGCCCUCUUUCGUCGUCACAUCCUCUUUCAGUUGCUCUCCUCGCUUCGAGACACGUCUCCACAAGAUGAGGGCCAAGUGGAGGAAGAAGCGUAUGCGCAGGCUGAAGCGUAAAAGGAGAAAGAUGAGGCAGAGGUCCAAGUAGACUGCCCCCUUCCCCAGCAGCUGUGAUCCUGUCAGAGCCUGACCUGACGACUGAAGCUGCGGCUGAGAUGACGCGUGGAGCCGCCCUGGUUGGAGAAGCAGCGUCUCAACUCUGAUAAAGAGCCGCCACACUUCAUGGCAGCCAGUUGUGGAUGUCUUCGACUGGAGGAUGGUGCCGAUGACAAGAAUGGAUCUCCCCUCAACAUCAUUACUACAGCUGCUUUAAGAGACCAUAAUAAAUUUUGGUUACCAACAA